CGCGUCCCCAAGUCAGG
rnacentral:rRNA from 6 species